UCCCUUUUAUCCCUCACCACCAUAGUUAAAGUAAGAAAUGCUGCUUUUGGAGUAGAGUGGCACGAUUGUAAUGAGUGAUUGCAGAUCCACAUCUGGGACCAGCACACAGAGAGUCGCCUGGCCUGGGCACUAUCUUAAAGAAUUUUAAUCGCUUCUUCUAUAUAAUUUAUCUUAGUUUUAUAUUUUAAAAAUAUCCUCCAUUGUCACUUCACAGCCUGACUGACCCAAAAGUUGCAGUGGUCCUUAUAAAAUGCAUAAAAUAUGUCACAGUUUAGAAAAGACUUUGAAAUCUUGAGAUGCAAUGGGCCACAAAAAGAAACAAAUGAAUCCCUGUGAGUUCUGCAAAAAUAAUUGGCAAAAUAAACCAAUUCUGUGUGCAAUUUCUACCUGGUAGCCUGAGAGAGUACACAAUUUGGCAUUGAAGACAGAUGGAUUCAUGGUUUUUAUUAUAAAUUAAUCCUUCCAACCAAUGGAGGGAUUUAACAGCACUCUUUCAGGAUGAACUUGGAUUUCAAGGUUCAUCUCAAGGAUUGAGGAGCAUGAGCCUGGAUUAGGUACCUUGGCCAAUGAAAGGUUAUAGCUGCGCUUAGACUGCCAUUCCUAAAUAGCUGUGCUGAAGAGAAUAGUAGGGCAAUUUGGAGACUACAACUGGAAUAAGAAACUUGAUACUUACAAAACAAUUAGAGAUUUCCUCACGGCUGAGAUCCCCAAUGAUUCUGGCAAAAAUCCAGCAUUAUUGGAGAGAAGAGGGUCAAUCUUUUCAACUGAAACAGACCUGAAGGAAUCAGACUCUUAGAAAUAUGCUUUUCACAGCAAAUAAAUAAGAUACAGUGCUGUAAGAUACAAUGCUGGAAGACAUAUUGACCAAGCUGGAAUAGCAAUAGCAUUGUAGUUCUAAUUGCCAAGCUAUGACACUUGUCAAUCCUGUAGAAUUGAAGACUUCUGUAAGUUCUCAUUUUUGCACAAGGAAUCCGCUUUGGAAUAAGUUUGUUUGUAAGGGUGGCACACUGGCGCAACAGAGACCCAGGUUUAAUCCUGACUACGGGUGCUGACUACGGAAUUGUACGUUCUUCCCUGUGACUGCAGGUUUUCUCUGGGUGUUCCGGUUUCCUCCCACACUCCAAACAAACACCAGCCGACUCAGCGGGUCAGGCAGCAUCACUGGAGAACAUGGAGAGGUGACAUUUCGGACAACCACUUGCACUACAAAGGAAUCUAUGUGCCUAUUAUGCUGCUACAAUGAUGGGAAGAAUUUUCUGCACCUGAUAAGCGGAAGGGAACUGAGUAAGGUGGCCAAAAAUCACAGCCGGCGGCGGCAACAUCGGCAGCCAAGGAUUUGGACGUUCCAAUAGACCAUAUCCUCGCGGCCGCAGGAUGGGCAAAUGAAAGGAUGUUUCACAAGUAUCGCAAAGAAAUUGCAGACCCUGGUGUAUUUGGUGGUACUGUUUUGGAUUCAGUAUUAAAUGUCCCUAGUGAUUAAAAUGGGACACAUAAUGUUUAUCAUAAAAUAAACCAUUAAUUGAUUAAACAAGUAUGAUGGUUGCAUGUUAUUGACUGUUUUCACUCAUAGAGUCAAGCAAAAUGCAGUGAUACGCCGGAACCCAAUCUAUGGCCUGAAAUCACAGAAGCUUUAAAAUCUUCACGUAGUAACUCACGUGACUCCGAAGUAAAAUAGUA